rnacentral:rRNA from 1 species
GAUGAACGCUAGCGGGAGGCCUAAUACAUGCAAGUCGAACGGUAACAGGGUAGCAAUACCGCUGACGAGUGGCGCACGGGUGAGUAACACGUACACGAACCUGCCUUAUACUGGAGCAUAGCCUUGGGAAACUAAGAUUAAUUCUCCAUAAUAUUAAUGAAGCGGCAUCGCUUUAUAAUUAAAAUUCCGAUGGUAUAAGAUGGGUGUGCGUCUGAUUAGCUAGNGGUGA